rnacentral:rRNA from 1 species
GGUUAAGUGAAUAAGGGCGCACGGUGGAUGCCUUGGCACUAGGAGCCGAUGAAGGACGGGACUAACACCGAUAUGCUUUGGGGAGCUGUACGUAAGCUAUGAUCCAGAGAUUUCCGAAUGGGGGAACCCAGCAUCUUUAAUAGGAUGUUACGAUUGUGUGAAUACAUAGCACAUUCGAGGUAGACGCAGAGAACUGAAACAUCUAAGUACCUGCAGGAAGAGAAAGAAAAUUCGAUUCCCUGAGUAGCGGCGAGCGAAACGGGAAAAGCCCAAACCAACAAGCUUGCUUGUUGGGGUUGUAGGACUCCAAUAUGGUCGUUCUUUCAGAUAGUCGAAUGACUUGGAAAAGUCAGUCAAAGAGGGUAAAA